rnacentral:tRNA from 1 species
GCAGCCGUGGCCGAGUGGUUAAGGCGAUAGACUAGAAAUCCAUUGGGGUCUCCCCGCACAGGUUCGAAUCCUGUCGACUGCG